rnacentral:rRNA from 1 species
AUCCAGACUCCUACGGGAGGCAGCAGUGGGGAGUAUUGCACAAUGGGGGAAACCCUGAUGCAGCGACGCCGCGUGAGCGAUGAAGUAUUUCGAUAUGUAAAGCUCUAUCAGCAGGGAAGAAAAUGACGGUACCUGACUAAGAAGCCCCGGCUAACUACGUGCCAGCAGCCGCGGUAAUGCGUAGGGGGCAAGCGUUAUCCGGAUUUACUGGGUGUAAAGGGAGCGUAGACGGCUGUGCAAGCCAGAUGUGAAAGCCCGGGGCUCAACCCCGGGACUGCAUUUGGAACUGUGUGGCUGGAGUGUCGGAGAGGCAGGCGGAAUUCCUAGUGUAGCGGUGAAAUGCGUAGAUAUUAGGAGGAACACCAGUGGCGAAGGCGGCCUGCUGGACGAUGACUGACGUUGAGGCUCGAAAGCGUGGGGAGCAAACAGGAUUAGAUACCCGUGUA